UGAUCUCCCCGUGCAGAAGCGGUGAUAAUUCCNUAANACGAGAAGACCCUAUGGAGCUUUAGACGUCAGAGCAGCCCAUGUAAAGCACCCCUUAACAAAGGAAAAAACCAAAUGAAGCCUGCCCUAAUGUCUUUGGUUGGGGCGACCGCGGGGAAAUACAAAACCCCCAUGUGGAGUAGGAAUACACAUUCCUAAACCCAAGAGCUCCCGCUCUAAUGAACAGAAAUUCUGACCAAUAAGAUCCGGCACACGCCGAUCAACGGACCGAGUUACCCUAGGGAUAACAGCGCAAUCCCCUUAAAGAGCCCUUAUCGACAAGGGGGUUUACGACCUCGAUGUUGGAUCAGGACAUCCUAAUGGUGCAGCCGCUAUUAAGGGUUCGUUUGUUCAACGAUUAAAGUCCUACGUGAUCUGA
rnacentral:rRNA from 1 species